GGGCUCGCUUCACCAGCACAUAUACUAAAAUUGGAAUGAUACAGAGAAGAUUAGCAUGGAAACCUACACAAAGAUGACACAUAAAUUUGUGAAGCAUUCCAUAUUUUU
rnacentral:snRNA from 1 species